UCUGGUUGAUCCUGCCAGUAGGUAUACGCUUGUUUCUAAGACUAAGCCAUGCAUGUUAUGUUCAUACAACUAAAUUGUGAGACUGCGGAAGGCUCAGUAUAUCAGUUAUAAUCUAUUUGAUUGUCUUCCCCAUUGGAUAACCGUGGGAAAUCUAGAGCUAAUACAUGCAGUUAAUUGAAAGGGGUCAAAUCCUUUCAAAGCAUUUAUUAGAUCAAUACCAACUAUAGUAGUAUGGGUGACUGUGCUACUAUAAGGUGAAUCUAGAUAACUUUGCUGAUCGUAUGGCCUUGUGCCGGCGACAUUUCAAUUGAAUUUCUGCCCUAUCAACUUGUUGGUAAGGUAGUGGCUUACCAAGGUUACAACGGGUAACGGGGAAUCAGGGUUCGAUUCCGGAGAGGGAGCCUGAGAAAUGGCUACCACAUCCAAGGGAGGCAGCAGGCGCGCAAAUUACCCAAUCCAGAUUCUGGGAGGUGGUGACGAGAAAUACUAGAUGACUUCCUAAAAGGAUGUCAUACUGGAAUGGACGUAAUUUAAGAAAUUCGAUGAGUAACAACUGGAGGGCAAGUCUGGUGCCAGCAGCCGCGGUAAUUCCAGCUCCAGUAGUGUAUCUUAAAGUUGCUGCGUUUAAAACGCUCGUAGUUGGAUUACGCAGCAUAGAUUAGUCGAUUGGCAUGAUACUGCACUCAAUCCAGUUAGUUGUAUUUUUGCCCAAGGUAAAUCCUGGGUGAGAAUAUGAUUAGUUGGAGCAGUACGUGUCGAUUAACAGCUAGUUUAUGCUACUUUUUCGUGAGGAUGGCAGUUGACCUUUAAUGCGUUGACUGUUGUGUCUCACGAAGUGUGCCUUGAAUAAAUCAGAGUGCUCAAAGCAGGCUUUAGCUUGAAUGUUGAUAGCAUGGAACGAACAAUUGUGAUCUAGUGUUUUUAGGGACUAUGUGAGUGGAUUUAUAUUCGCUCAUACAUGUACCUUUAAACACAGCACCAACCGCCAUUAACGGAUGUUGGUUUCCGUGAUGGGGUGAUGAUUAAAAGGAGCGGUUGGGGGCAUUGGUAUUUUGCCGCGAGAGGUGAAAUUCUUGGACCGGCAAAGGACUAACAAAUGCGAAGGCAUCUGUCAAGACCGUUUCCAUUAAUCAAGAACGAUAGUGAGAGGUUCGAAGACGAUCAGAUACCGUCCUAGUUCUCACUGUAAACUAUGCCGACCCGGGAUCAGUUUCGAGCUAGAAAUGCUCGUGGUUGGUCCCCCUGGGAAACCUCAAGUUUUUAGGUUACGGGGGGAGUAUGGUUGCAAGGCUGAAACUUAAAGGAAUUGACGGAAGGGCACCACCAGGGGUGGAGCCUGCGGCUUAAUUUGACUCAACACGGGAAAACUCACCUGGUCCGGACAUCGAAAGGAUAGACAGACUGAUAGAUCUUUCUUGAUACGGUGGUUGGUGGUGCAUGGCCGUUCUUAGUUCGUGGAGUGAUCUGUCAGGUUGAUUCCGGUAACGGACGAGACCAUGGUUUUCAUUUAUGGUACUGGGGAAGGCUAUGGUGAAACUGGCAACAGUGGAGUCAUAGCUACUGGUAGAGUACGCUUUGGUUGCGCCAAGUAUGUUGAGACUUGUUGGUUUUUGCCUUCCGGUAUCAGCGUAUGAAGUGUAAUAAUAGGGUGUACUUUCCCCCCAGUUAAACAUUGCAGGGUUCACGCUCUGUGAUUGUGCUAUGAAAAGACAACCAAGUAUACUUUAGAAGUUGGAGGAAGCACUUGGCGAUAACAGGUCUGUGAUGCCCUUAGAUGUCCAGGGCCGCACGCGCGCUACAAUGAUAGCAACAAUGAGUGUCUUAGUCGAAAGACUUGGGUAAUCUUGUGAAUUGCUAUCGUGAUGGGGAUUGAUCGUUGUAAUUAUCGGUCAUGAAAGAGGAAUCCCUAGUAUGCAUGCGUCAUUAGCGUAUGCAGAUUAAGUCCCUGCCCUUUGUACACACCGCCCGUCGCUACUACCGAGUGAAUCGUGUCAUGAUGCCUUGGGACUGGACAUCAUUCAGGUGGUUUCCAUUUAGAGUGAUGCUAGGAUCAA
rnacentral:rRNA from 1 species